rnacentral:rRNA from 1 species
UACAGAGACUGCAAGCGUUAUUCGGAUUCACUGGGCGUAAAGGGUGCGCAGGCGGUCGGGUGUGUCAGAUGUGAAAUCCCGAGGCUCAACCUCGGAACUGCGUCUGAAACUACUCGACUAGAGUACUGGAGAGGGUAACGGAAUUCACGGUGUAGCAGUGAAAUGCGUAGAUAUCGUGAGGAACACCAGAGGCGAAGGCGGUUACCUGGACAGUUACUGACGCUGAUGCGCGACAGCGUGGGGAGCAAACAGG